rnacentral:rRNA from 1 species
UACGUAGGGUGCAAGCGUUGUCCGGAAUUAUUGGGCGUAAAGAGCUCGUAGGCGGUCUGUCGCGUCUGCUGUGAAAACUCAGGGCUUAACCCUGAGCUUGCAGUGGGUACGGGCAGACUAGAGUGCGGUAGGGGGAGACUGGAAUUCCUGGUGUAGCGGUGAAAUGCGCAGAUAUCAGGAGGAACACCGGUGGCGAAGGCGGGUCUCUGGGCCGUAAACUGACGCUGGAGGAGCGGAAAGCAUGGGGAGC